GAUAGAGUUGAAAACUAGGCUAUGUCUUCCUACAAACUAACUAGGGUAGUAGUCAAGUUUCUUCAACUGGAUUUUCAAUUUCUUCCUCUUUCUUCCUCUGCAAUGUAUGUCUUGAAUGAUCUGUCUUACUGUAGUUGCUGCUGGUCUGGUUCUUUGUUGGAAGAUUUUGUUGUUCCUUUCUAAUCAGAUCCAUGAGUUACGGGUUGAUAGCGAGCAUUGAUCUUCAUCCAACGGGUCAUUUGGAGUCGGCAAGGUAGCUGCAUGGCGUUCACAACCCUGCUCUUCUCCCUCUUAUCUUUCCUAGAUUAUAUUAGUAUUGUUCCCAGACUUUGAUAGACUUUAUUGUACUUAGACAGACCUUGUAAUUGCUCGUGACUUGUGACACCCCGAUGUCGGGCUUAUGUUAUUUUUCGCACUUGUUAUUUAGACGCAUGUUAUGGGAUUUUAGUAAAUUUAUAUUUAAAAAAUUCCUUUUUAUGAAA